rnacentral:misc_RNA from 1 species
AAGUCGUAACAAGGUUUCCGUAGGUGAACCUGCGGAAGGAUCAUUAGAGAAUUGUACCAAAACAAUAUGGACAAUCCAUCCAUAUUAUCCCACCUUGUGUGCAUCCAUUGAAACCAUGCUUUGGGAGGUCUCUCUUUAAAAAAAAAUGAAGAGGGAUUUUAAGCCUCCCAAGGUUUUCCCUUGUACACUCUUUUUUCUUGUUUCUCCUGAAAAAAUAAAAUAAAAUAAAAUAAAACGAAAUAAAAAAAUACAACUUUCAACAACGGAUCUCUUGGCUCUC